UACGUAGGGUGCAAGCGUUAAUCGGAAUUACUGGGCGUAAAGCGUGCGUCGGCGGUUUGGCAAGAAAGGUGUGAAAUCCCAGAGCUUAACUUUGGAACUGCACUUUUAACUGCCAGGCUAGAGUAUGUCAGAGGGGGGUAGAAUUCCGCGUGUAGCAGUGAAAUGCGUAGAGAUGCGGAGGAAUACCGAUGGCGAAGGCAGCCCCCUGGGAUAAUACUGACGCUCAGGCACGAAAGCGUGGGGAGCAAACAGG
rnacentral:rRNA from 1 species